rnacentral:rRNA from 1 species
AGAGUUUGAUCCUGGCUCAGAUUGAACGCUGGCGGCAGGCCUAACACAUGCAAGUCGAGCGGUAACACAGAGGAGCUUGCUCCUUGGGUGACGAGCGGCGGACGGGUGAGUAAUGCCUGGGGAUCUGCCCGAUAGAGGGGGAUAACUACGGGAAACUGUAGCUAAUACCGCAUAAUGUCUACGGACCAAAGUGGGGGCUCUUCGGACCUCAUGCUAUCGGAUGAACCCAGGUGGGAUUAGCUAGUUGGUGAGGUAAUGGCUCACCAAGGCGACGAUCUCUAACUGGUUUGAGAGAAUGACCAGUCACACUGGAACUGAGACACGGUCCAGACUCCUACGGGAGGCAGCAGUGGGGAAUAUUGCACAAUGGGCGCAAGCCUGAUGCAGCCAUGCCGCGUGUGUGAAGAAGGCCUUCGGGUUGUAAAGCACUUUCAGCGGGGAGGAAGGGUCACUAGUUAAUACCUAGUGGCAUUGACGUUACUCGCAGAAGAAGCACCGGCUAACUCCGUGCCAGCAGCCGCGGUAAUACGGAGGGUGCAAGCGUUAAUCGGAAUUACUGGGCGUAAAGCGCACGCAGGCGGUUUGUUAAGUCAGAUGUGAAAUCCCCGAGCUCAACUUGGGAACUGCAUUUGAAACUGGCAAGCUAGAGUCUUGUAGAGGGGGGUAGAAUUCCAGGUGUAGCGGUGAAAUGCGUAGAGAUCUGGAGGAAUACCGGUGGCGAAGGCGGCCCCCUGGACAAAGACUGACGCUCAGGUGCGAAAGCGUGGGGAGCAAACAGGAUUAGAUACCCUGGUAGUCCACGCUGUAAACGAUGUCGAUUGAGAGGUCGUGCCCGUGAGGCGCGGCUUCGCGGAGAGAGUGCGUUUAAUUGACGGUCGGGGGAGGGGGGCCGCAAGGUUAAAACUCACAGGAAUGGGGGGGGGCCCGCACUAGCGGCGGAGCAUGUGCUUUAAUUUGACGCAAUGUGACGAGCGUUACCUCCUGUUGACAUCCACAGCAGCAUGCAGAGAUGCGGGUGAGCUUUCGGGACUUGCGAGACAGGUGCGGCAGGGCGGUGGUCAUCUGGUGUUGUGAAAGGGGGGGUGAAGUCCAGCAACGAGCGCCAUCUCUAUCCUUGGUGGCCGGUGCUUUGGUGGGGAAGUCAAAGCAGGUUUCCGGUGAGGAACCGGGGCAGGGAGGGGAAGGCGUCAAGUCAUCGUGGGCUCUCUCAGUAGGCCCCCCCGCGUGCUCCAAUGGCAUAUCCGAAGGGCGGCAAGCGAGGGAUAGUGAGCGGAUCCCAUAAAGUCUCUGGUAGUCCGGAUGGGGGUGUGCAACUCGACUCCAUGAAGUGGCAAUCGAGAGUAAUCGAGGAUCGGAACGCCGCGGGGAACGCGUUCCCGGCCCUUGCACUCGCCGCCCGUCA